GGGAGUGUAGCUCAGUGGUAGAGCAUCUGCUUGGUGUGCAUGAGACCCAGGGUCCUAUUCCCGGCACCA
rnacentral:tRNA from 1 species